rnacentral:rRNA from 1 species
CUGAAGCUUGGUGCUUGCACCGAGCGGAUGAGUUGCGAACGGGUGAGUAACGCGUAGGUAACCUGCCUGGUAGCGGGGGAUAACUAUUGGAAACGAUAGCUAAUACCGCAUGACAACAGUUAUUGCAUGAUAACUGUUUAAAAGGGGCAAUUGCUCCACUACCAGAUGGACCUGCGUUGUAUUAGCUAGUUGGUGAGGUAACGGCUCACCAAGGCGACGAUACAUAGCCGACCUGAGAGGGUGAUCGGCCACACUGGGACUGAGACACGGCCCAGGCUCCUACGGGAGGCAGCAGUAGGGAAUCUUCGGCAAUGGACGGAAGUCUGACCGAGCAACGCCGCGUGAGUGAAGAAGGUUUUCGGAUCGUAAAGCUCUGUUGUAAGAGAAGAACGAGUGUGAGAGUGGAAAGUUCACACUGUGACGGUAUCUUACCAGAAAGGGACGGCUAACUACGUGCCAGCAGCCGCGGCAAUACGUAGGUCCCGAGCGUUAUCCGGAUUUAUUGGGCGUAAAGCGAGCGCAGGCGGUUAGGUAAGUCUGAAGUUAAAGGCUGUGGCUUAACCAUAGUACGCUUUGGAAACUGUUUAACUUGAGUGCAAGAGGGGAGAGUGGAAUUCCAUGUGUAGCGGUGAAAUGCGUAGAUAUAUGGAGGAACACCGGUGGCGAAAGCGGCUCUCUGGCUUGUAACUGACGCUGAGGCUCGAAAGCGUGGGGAGCAAACAGGAUUAGAUACCCUGGUAGUCCACGCCGUAAACGAUGAGUGCUAGGUGUUAGACCCUUUCCGGGGUUUAGUGCCGUA